CCCGUUCAAUACUGGAUCGGAUGCCGAACGAGAACAAUACGAGCAUGCACGCACGCCUAGCUGCGUCUACUACUUGAGCGCCCUUACAGUUGGUUUUGGUACUAUCGACGCAAAAAGAAAUUGGUUCCAGAUUUCUAGAUCUCGAUGGUAGUAGUUCCACAUUUGAUAAGGUCUAUGGAAUGUCUUGCGUCAUCGAUCGGUUCAAUCAAAACGUUUCAAAAUGAUCAGUUUUACAAGGACAGAUGGAGCCUCAUUAUUCGAGCAGAAAAUCAAUGUGAAAAUGACAGUGGCACCUUUUUUUUAAACACGCGCCUAGCGGUCUCCAGAAGCCGAAUAAACUACGCAUCCAAGUUGAUAUAUUUCUGUUUCUUUUUUUUUUGCAGGUGAUAUAUUUCUGUUUCGAUCGAGAGAGAGGGGGAGAGAGAGAACAAGUUGAUUUUAAACUUUAGCAAUGUACUACUAGCAGAAUACCAGCCACUGGCAAAUGGAUCCAUGUCCGAAACGGGUGAAAAAAUGACCAUGCUCGUCAUCCAGAGAUCCAGCAGUAGUCCCGUUCGGUACCAGCAGAAGCUAGCAACUGAGCUGUACUAGAAGUGUAGAUCGAUAGGAAUCUUCGGACGUUCCAGAACCGGAUGGGCGCCCACGUGGCCACGUGCCGGUCACGUGCCCAUGUCCGCAAGACCGCAAGUGGCCUUUGGAUGGAGGCCAAUGGCAAUGCAGACGAGACGACCCCAAGACUGGAAGAGAGGCCAAUGCAGCGAACCCCAGAAAAACGAGGAAAGAUCAGAGGAAAGCCUGUAAAAAGCGACCGUGCCCGCCCGUGCCCCGGCGCCCGGCGCGGCGUUGCCGAGCCCGCUGGCCGACGGAACGGCGACGGCAUGGGUACCCAUUAUUCAUGGCUCGUGUCAUCAUGGCUGGAUGUGCGACGAUUCGGCACGGCUAUAGGCUGCUUUUAGCAAGACGUGACGGGCCAGGGCGAGUCAUAUAUAGCUAGUACCAGUUAGC
rnacentral:lncRNA from 1 species